rnacentral:rRNA from 1 species
CACGUAGUUAGCCGUCCCUUUCUGGUAAGCUACCGUCACAGUGUGAACUUUCCACUCUCACACCCGUUCUUGACUUACAACAGAGCUUUACGAUCCGAAAACCUUCUUCGCUCACGCGGCGUUGCUCGGUCAGGGUUGCCCCCAUUGCCGAAGAUUCCCUACUGCUGCCUCCCGUAGGAGUCUGGGCCGUGUCUCAGUCCCAGUGUGGCCGAUCACCCUCUCAGGUCGGCUAUGUAUCGUCGCCUAGGUGAGCCAUUACCUCACCUACUAGCUAAUACAACGCAGGUCCAUCUUGUAGUGGAGCAAUUGCCCCUUUCAAAUAAAUGACAUGUGUCAUCCAUUGUUAUGCGGUAUUAGCUAUCGUUUCCAAUAGUUAUCCCCCGCUACAAGGCAGGUUACCUACGCGUUACUCACCCGUUCGCAACUCAUCCAAGAAGAGCAAGCUCCUCUCUUCAGCGUUCUACUUGCAUGUAUUAGGCACGCCGCCAGCGUUCGU